CCUACGGGCUGCAGCAGUGAGGAAUAUUGGUCAAUGGCCGUAAGGCUGAACCAGCCAAGUCGCGUGAAGGAAGAAGGAUCUAUGGUUUGUAAACUUCUUUUAUAGGGGAAUAAAGGUAUCCACGUGUGGAUAUUUGCAUGUACCCUAUGAAUAAGCAUCGGCUAACUCCGUGCCAGCAGCCGCGGUAAUACGGAGGAUGCGAGCGUUAUCCGGAUUUAUUGGGUUUAAAGGGUGCGGAGGUUGUUUUUUAAGUCAGCGGUGAAAGUUUGUGGCUCAACCAUAAAAUUGCCGUUGAAACUGGCAGACUUGAGUGUGUUUGAGGUAGGCGGAAUGCGUGGUGUAGCGGUGAAAUGCAUAGAUAUCACGCAGAACUCCGAUUGCGAAGGCAGCUUACUAAGCCAUAACUGACACUGAAGCACGAAAGCGUGGGGAUCAAACAGGAUUAGAUACCCGUGUAGUC
rnacentral:rRNA from 1 species